AUUGAACGCUGGCGGCAUGCCUAACACAUGCAAGUCGAACGAGUGGCGGACGGGUGAGUAAUGUCUGGGACACUGCCCGAUGGAGGGUGCUAACUACUGGAAACGGUAGCUCAUACCGCAUACCCUCGGAUGUGCCCAGAUGGGAUUAGCUAGUGGGUGGGGGAACGGCUCACCUAGGCGACGAUCCCUAGCUGGUCUGAGAGGAUGACCAGAAAAACUGGAACUGAGAAACGGGCCAGAAUGCUAGGGGAGGAAGAAGUGGGGAAUAGUGAAAAAUGGGCGAAAGCCUGAGGGAGCAAUGCAGCGUGUAUGAAGAAGGCCUUCGGGUUGGAAAGUACUUUCAGCGAGGAGGCGUUACUCGAAGAAGAAGCACCGGCUAACUCCGUGCCAGCAGCCGCGGUAAUUC
rnacentral:rRNA from 1 species